AGCAGUUCCUUAAGUGCCUUGUGAACAGGGAGUUGUCACAGGGACGAAAAAGCCCUCUGGGGCUUUGCGGUACGAGGUUCGCAUCCCGCUGCU
rnacentral:ncRNA from 2 species